rnacentral:rRNA from 1 species
GAUGAACGCUGGCGGCGUGCCUAAUACAUGCAAGUCGAGCGAACAGACGAGGAGCUUGCUCCUCUGACGUUAGCGGCGGACGGGUGAGUAACACGUGGAUAACCUACCUAUAAGACUGGGAUAACUUCGGGAAACCGGAGCUAAUACCGGAUAAUAUAUUGAACCGCAUGGUUCAAUAGUGAAAGACGGCUUUGCUGUCACUUAUAGAUGGAUCCGCGCCGCAUUAGCUAGUUGGUAAGGUAACGGCUUACCAAGGCAACGAUGCGUAGCCGACCUGAGAGGGUGAUCGGCCACACUGGAACUGAGACACGGUCCAGACUCCUACGGGAGGCAGCAGUAGGGAAUCUUCCGCAAUGGGCGAAAGCCUGACGGAGCAACGCCGCGUGAGUGAUGAAGGUCUUCGGAUCGUAAAACUCUGUUAUUAGGGAAGAACAAAUGUGUAAGUAACUAUGCACGUCUUGACGGUACCUAAUCAGAAAGCCACGGCUAACUACGU